rnacentral:misc_RNA from 1 species
GCGCGUGAUCAUUAUAAUCGGCCGAUAACAUGGCAUUCAAUAAACUCUCGGCCAUGGUAGUGUCCUCCUCAGGAAUGGGAUAAUCGUCAUUGACAAUUAUCGCACGUUCCGCGGCUUGAUGGGCGUCAUUCAUUACCCUCAAAUGUUCCAGUUCUCUGACCCUUCUAGCAAGUUUUGAAUUCUGUUCCCUCAAAGACAGCACUUGCUCCAUCAAUGUAUACAAUCUGUCCAGAUGAUCGAAGGCAUCCUCAGCUUCCAGAGACGCGGCAAAGACGGACGCGGGUUGCGAUAGUUGGGCAGUGUUUCAGCUUCGAGACGAUUUCUGUGCAUGGCGAAAGCCUCUUCGAAUAUAUUGCUGUCGUCCGGAGGUAUAGGGUCCGGUGGUGGUGUCGGCAAACGCGAUACGUCAAAUUUUUCCAUACGUCUCGUUCGCCGCCUAGAAAGUCUCGACGUAACAUCAACACGUGACUGAUUCAUUUGUGAUUGAGGUAUUAUUUUUUUCAAACCGAUUUCAAUGCCAAAAUCAUCG